UUGAAAGGGAAACGAUUGAAGUCAGUCGUACCUGUGGGUAUCAGCCUUUUGGGUGUGAUUUUGUGGAGUGUGAGGAGUUAAACGCCUUCAUGCCUGCAUAUUCGUGCACUUUGGGUGUAUUUACCCGUGUGGUAAGUUAACAUCAAUUUCGGUGGUCAUAAAAUGGCUGGAGGAAUGUAGCUUUGAUCUCGUAUUGAAGUGUUAUAGCCUUCGGUAGAUGUGAUAAUCGGGAUUGAGGAUUGCAACGGAUACCCUUCGGGGCUACCUGUCUGAUCUCUGAUCGUUGCUCUGGUGCCGAAAGCUUGCUUACGGUUAUCAAAGUCGAUGGUCAAUAGGUUAGAAUGGGUUAAAUUCGUUAAGGAUGUUGACGUA
rnacentral:rRNA from 1 species